GCUCUGACUCGUUGUUUGUGUUGGGUUUGUGAUCACCUUUGUUUUUUACUCAGAAGCAUUGGCGGUGCUAAAACAUAAAACUGGCUUGUCAGUAGAUAACAGUGUACCGGAGUCAAUACUAAAAGUUAGCGGUUAGCUGUAGCUUCCGCUAAAUUUUAUAUCAGUUU